CUCUGUCUUCAGGUCCUGGCACUGCUUCAGGGUUUCAUGCAGCCGCAUGCAAGCUGCUUCUUCAGCCGUCUCAUCUGGAACUGUGGGGUCUGCAGGAUAUCACCCAUGGGAGAAGCUGGAGAACCUGAGAGAAAGCUGAGGAGGGAGAAGGCCCAUAUGCAUUGAGCCUGCUCCUGAAUUCUGGACUCACAUUUCUAACAUCUCCACCUGAAGGUCUCAUGAGGAACCUGAAUACAAGGAACAUCAAAC
rnacentral:lncRNA from 10 species